CAGGAUUCACCUUCGACCUACUGAAUCAGAAGCUGCAUUUAAAAAAAUACUCAGGGUGACAGUGGGGACAGGUUGUAAAGGUUGUCUCAUAAAAGAAUGAGGGCUGUUUCUCUCAAGGGUUUGAUGAUUUCAGAUGUCCAUCUAGAGCAUAAGGAAGAUAACCUAAUUUCUGUUUCCAUAAAAAAUACUGGAGGACAAGAAGGCAAUGUUCCUGUGGAAUGUCCUCUAAGAGCUGAUAUGGGUGGGAGGUCAAGAGGAUGUCCUCCAAAAGGCAGAAGCUCUUGAUUUG
rnacentral:lncRNA from 1 species